GAGGGGGCAAGCGUUGUUCGGAAUUACUGGGCGUAAAGGGCGCGUAGGCGGCCUUCUAAGUCGAACGUGGAAUCCCCGGGCUCAACCCGGGAACUGCGUCCGAUACUGGAAGGCUUGAAUCCGGGAGAGGGAUGUGGAAUUCCAGGUGUAGCGGUGAAAUUGCGUAGAUAUCUGGAGGAACACCGGUGGCGAAGGCGACAUCCUGGACCCGUAUUGACGCUGAGGCGCGAAAGCCAGGGGAGCAAACGGGGAUUAGAUACCCCGGUAGUCCUGGCCCUAAACGAUGAAUGCUUGGUGUGGCGGGUAUCGAUCCCUGCCGUGCCGAAGCUAACGCAUUAAGCAUUCCGCCUGGGGAGUACGGUCGCAAGGCUG
rnacentral:rRNA from 1 species